rnacentral:rRNA from 1 species
AUUGAACGUUGGCGGCAUGCUUUACAUAUGCAAGUCGGACGGCAGCACAGCGAAGCCUGCUUCUUGGGUGGCGAGUGGCGACCGGGUGAGUAAUAUAUCGGAACGUACCGAGUAAUGGGGGAUAACUAAUCGAAAGAUUAGCUAAUACCGCAUAUUCUCUGAGGAGGAAAGCAGGGGACCUUCGGGCCUUGCGUUAUUCGAGCGGCCGAUAUCUGAUUAGCUAGUUGGUGGGGUAAAGGCCUACCAAGGCGACGAUCAGUAGCGGGUCUGAGAGGAUGAUCCGCCACACUGGGACUGAGACACGGCCCAGACUCCUACGGGAGGCAUCAGUGGGGAAUUUUGGCCAAUGGGCGAAAGCCUGAUCCAGCCAUGCCGCGUGUCUGAAGAAGGCCUUCGGGUUGUAAAGGACUUUUGUAAGGGAAGAAAAGUCUGUUGCUAAUAUCGACAGCUGAUGACGGUACCUGAAGAAUAAGCACCGGCUAACUACGUG